UACAGAGGGUGCAAGCGUUAAUCGGAAUUACUGGGCGUAAAGCGCGCGUAGGUGGUUUGUUAAGUUGGAUGUGAAAGCCCCGGGCUCAACCUGGGAACUGCAUCCAAAACUGGCAAGCUAGAGUACGGUAGAGGGUGGUGGAAUUUCCUGUGUAGCGGUGAAAUGCGUAGAUAUAGGAAGGAACACCAGUGGCGAAGGCGACCACCUGGACUGAUACUGACACUGAGGCGCGAAAGCGUGGGGAGCAAACAGG
rnacentral:rRNA from 1 species